rnacentral:rRNA from 1 species
CCUACGGGAGGCAGCAGUGAGGAAUAUUGGUCAAUGGGCGGAAGCCUGAACCAGCCAAGUAGCGUGCGGGAUGAAGGCCCUACGGGUCGUAAACCGCUUUUGCACGGGGAUAAAACACUCCACUUGUGGAGGUCUGCAGGUACCGUGCGAAUAAGGGCCGGCUAAUUCCGUGCCAGCAGCCGCGGUAAUACGGACGGCCCGAUCGGUCUCCGGAUUAAUUGGGCUUAAAGGGAGCGUAGGCGGGCGUUCAAGUCAGCUGUAAAAUCGCGCGGCUCCACCGCGCCCCGCAGUUGAAACUGGACGCCUUGACUUCACCACAGGCAGGCGGAAUUCGUGGUGUAGCGGUGAAAUGCAUAGAUAUCACG